rnacentral:rRNA from 1 species
AGUGAACGCUGGCGGCGUGCUUAACACAUGCAAGUCGAACGAGAACGGGCUAUAGCUUGCUAUAGUUGUCAGCUAAGUGGCGCACGGGUGAGUAAUGUAUAGGUAAUAUGCCUCUUACUAAGGGAUAACAAAUGGAAACGUUUGCUAAUACCUUAUACUCCUUAUUAACAGAAGUUAAUAAGGGAAAGAUUUAUUGGUAUGAGAUUAGCCUGUAUUGUAUCAGUUAGUUGGUGGGGUAAUGGCUUACCAAGACUAUGACACAUAACUGGUUUGAGAUGAUGAUCAGUCACACUGGAACUGAGACACGGUCCAAACUCCUACGGGAGGCAGCAGUGGGUAAUAUUGCACAAUGGACGAAAGUCUGAUGCAGCAACGCCGCGUGGAGGAUGACACAUUUCGGUGCGUAAACUCCUUUUAUAUGAGAAGACAAUGACGGUAUUAUAUGAAUAAGCGCCGGCUAACUCCCUGCCAGCCGCCGCCGUAA